rnacentral:rRNA from 1 species
UACGAAGGGGGCGAGCGUUGUUCGGAUUUACUGGGCGUAAAGGGCGCGCAGGCGGCAGACCAAGUCAGGCGUGAAAGCCCCGGGCUUAACCUGGGAGGUGCGUCUGGGACUGGUAUGCUAGAGUUCGGGAGAGGAGAGUGGAAUUCCCAGUGUAGAGGUGAAAUUCGUAGAUAUCAGGAAGAACACCCGUGGCGAAGGCGGCUCUCUGGGACGGUACUGACGCUGAGACGCGAAAGCGUGGGGAGCGAACAGG